rnacentral:misc_RNA from 1 species
UUUCCGUAGGUGGACCUGCGGAAGGAUCAUUAAUAAAUUUUUUUUGAAAUAAAAAAAAAUAAUAAUCAUCCUACCCUUUGUGAAUUUGUUUUGUUGAAUAAUUUUUUAAAAUUAUUUAUUGUCUAUCCAAGUUGGAAAGUUGUAAAAGACUAGAAGACUUGGGGCGGCAUAAAUAAAUUUAAAGACUUUUUUCUAAAAUUAAACUUUUGUAUUCAUUUGUCUAAAAUAAUUUUAUAAUAUAUAAAAACAACUUUUGACAAUGGAUCUCUUGGUUCUCGCAACGAUGAAGAACGCAGCAAAAUGCGAUAAGUAAUGUGAAUUGCAGAAUACGUGAAUCAUCGAAUCUUCGAACGCAUAUUGCACUUUUUUAGUUUACUAAAAAAGUAUGUCUGUUUGAGUAUCAGUAAAAUAUUCUCAUAAAAUUUUUAAUUUUAUGGUUAUGAGUGUUUUACAACGAUAAACAAGUUGUUUCACUUUAAAUUGAAUUUUUUGAAGAAAUUCUUAAUUCAAAUUAAAUUUGGAUAAAAUUUUCCCGUAAAAAGGAAUAACUAUACAAGUUUAAUAAGAAUUUAGUGAUUUCUUUUAUGAAAAGGAAAUUUAUUAAAUAACUUGAUCUCAAAUCAGAUAAGAGUACCCGCUGAACUUAAGCAUAUCAAUAAGCGGAGGAAAAGAAACUAACAAGGAUUCCCCUAGUAACGGCGAGUGAAGCGGGAAGAGCUCAAAUUUGAAAUCUUAAAGGGUUUCCCUUACGAAUUGUAGUUUAAAGAAGUGUUUUCUGAUGAGGUUUUGGUAAAAGUUCUUUAGAAUAGGACAUCAUAGAGGGUGAGAAUCCCGUAUUUGACCUUUACUUUCAACUUUGUGAUACACUUUCAAAGAGUCGGAUUGUUUGGGAAUGCAGUCCAAAAUGGGUGGUAAAUUUCAUCUAAAGCUAAAUAUUGGCGAGAGACCGAUAGCGAACAAGUACCGUGAGGGAAAGAUGAAAAGAACUUUGAAAAGAGAGUUAAACAGUACGUGAAAUUGUCAAAAGGGAAGCGUUUGACACCAGUGUUGUUUUUCUGAAAAUCAAUUAAAGAACUGUUUAUGCUAAGUUGUUUAGACUUUAUCAGCUAACUGUUUAGUUUUGAGCUUUUCUUUAAUGCACUUUUCAGUUAACAAGUCAACAUCAAUUUCUUUUGCUGUAAAAAAGCUUGAGGAAGGUGGCUUGAGAUUCGUCUUAAGUGUUUAUAGCCUCUUGCCUAUGCAGUCGGAGAGAUUGAGGUCUGCAGCGUAGAUCCUUCGGGGCUAAAUGCAUUUGUGCUAAGUUAUAGCAUUUUAUAGACAACUUGUUGACUAUGAUUUGUCUUGUAGCUUACUCGCUUAUGUUAUUU